rnacentral:rRNA from 1 species
CAUAAUGUCAUUUAUUUGAUGUUGUGGGGAAUUAGGACUGUUACCUUGAAAAAAUUAGAGUGUUUAAAGCAGGCUAACGCUUGAAUACAUUAGCAUGGAAUAACGAAAUAGGACAUCGCAUUCUAUUUUGUUGGUUUCUAGGAUCGAUGUAAUGAUUAAUAGGGAUAGUUGGGGGCAUUAGUAUUCAAUUGUCAGAGGUGAAAUUCUUGGAUUUAUUGAAGACUAACUACUGCGAAAGCAUUUGCCAAGGAUGUUUUCAUUAAUCAAGAACGAAAGUUAGGGGAUCGAAGACGAUCAGAUACCGUCGUAGUCUUAACCAUAAACUAUGCCGACUAGGGAUCGGAUGAUGUUGAUUUUUUAAUGACUCAUUCGGCACCUUACGGGAAACCAAAGUGUUUGGGUUCCGGGGGGAGUAUGGUCGCAAGGCUGAAACUUAAAGGAAUUGACGGAAGGGCACCACCAGGGGUGGAGCCUGCG